AAACUUGGUUUAGGUAUUUGGCCAUCUGGGCGGAGUUGUGAAAUUGGUCCGUCGGAAACUAAAUUUUCCCCUGAAAUUUGUAAUCUUUGGAUUUGGAAGAAGCGAUGAAAACCCAGUUAGCAGCUUCUCUAAUUUUCACGUCCCUUCUUCUUUUCCUUCUCCCAAGCUUAACAAUUCAUACCAAAGCUGAGGUUAUAACCCUAACUGCUGACACCUUCUCCGACAAGGUGAAGGAGAAAGACACUGCAUGGUUUGUCAAGUUCUGUGUACCAUGGUGUAAACAUUGUAAGAACUUGGGGUCAUUGUGGGAGGAUUUUGGGAAGGUAGUGGAAAGCGAAGACGAAAUAGAGGUUGGGGAAGUGGAUUGCAGUACGAGUAAACCAGUGUGCUCGAAAGUUGAUAUUCAUUCUUAUCCUACAUUUAAGCUAUUCUUUGAUGGAGAAGAAGUUGCCAAAUAUCAAGGGCCGAGGGAUGUUGAAUCACUCAAGAAUUUUGUCUUAGACCAGGCUGAAGAAGCAGCAAGAAAGGCACAUCUUGGCAGUGAUAAAGAGUUGUGAUAAGCUGAGGUAGAUACCAAAUUUCUCUUCAUAGAGCUUUCUCAGUUGUACCACAGUAUAAGGUCCUUGGAACCCCUUGCAAAGAUGUGGGACUUGUGUCGGAACACAUUGACUGGAUGCUGGUAUAUGCUUCUAUGGACAUCUGCUGAUUCUCAGUUUCUCACUAGCUGGCAGAACAGUCUUCUGGUGUGGCGGAAGCUAAUUACAACUGAUGAAUGGAGGAGCAGCUUGUAUUCAUGAAUGGAUUUCCACAUACAGAUAUUGUGUUUGUCAUUACUCAUUAGCUUAGCAAAGGUGUUCGGCCCAGAUUUUAAUUAUUGUAGAAUUCAAGGUUGAAAAACAAUUGUGAACCAAUUAUUAGAGGUUCCCCAUUUCCAAACGUCAAUUUAUCAUCGUAAGUGAGACAUCUUGCUUCUGAAAUUAAA